CGUAGCUACGAGAGUAGUUUGACUCCGUGGCUACAGGACGACGCUGGCGGCGUGCUUAACACAUGCAAGUCGAACGAUGAAGCCUAGCUUGCUAGGUGGAUUAGUGGCGAACGGGUGAGUAAUACGUGAGUAACCUACCUUUAACUCUGGGAUAAGCCUGGGAAACUGGGUCUAAUACCGGAUACGACCAAUCUCCGCAUGGGGUGUUGGUGGAAAGCGUUAUGUAGUGGUUAUAGAUGGGCUCACGGCCUAUCAGCUUGUUGGUGAGGUAACGGCUCACCAAGGCGACGACGGGUAGCCGGCCUGAGAGGGUGACCGGCCACACUGGGACUGAGACACGGCCCAGACUCCUACGGGAGGCAGCAGUGGGGAAUAUUGCACAAUGGGCGCAAGCCUGAUGCAGCGACGCCGCGUGAGGGAUGACGGCCUUCGGGUUGUAAACCUCUGUUAGCAGGGAAGAAGAGAGAUUGGCGGUACCUGCAGAGAAAGCGCCGGCUAACUACGUG
rnacentral:rRNA from 1 species